rnacentral:tRNA from 1 species
GUUAAUGUAGCUUAUAAAAAAAAGCAAAGCACUGAAAAUGCUAAGAUGAGUUUAUUACUCCAUAAACA